CGCUGAAGCUCAGCUUUUGUUGGGUGGAUGAGUGGCGAACGGGUGAGUAACACGUGAGUAACCUGCCCCCUUCUUUGGGAUAACGCCCGGAAACGGGUGCUAAUACUGGAUAUUCACUGAUCUUCGCAUGGGGGUUGGUGGAAAGGUUUUUCUGGUGGGGGAUGGGCUCGCGGCCUAUCAGCUUGUUGGUGGGGUGAUGGCCUACCAAGGCUUUGACGGGUAGCCGGCCUGAGAGGGUGACCGGUCACAUUGGGACUGAGAUACGGCCCAGACUCCUACGGGAGGCAGCAGUGGGGAAUAUUGCACAAUGGGCGGAAGCCUGAUGCAGCGACGCCGCGUGAGGGAUGGAGGCCUUCGGGUUGUAAACCUCUUUCGCUCAUGGUCAAGCCGCAACAGUGGUUGUGGUGAGGGUAGUGGGUAAAGAAGCGCCGGCUAACUACGUGCCAGCAGCCGCGGUAAUACGUAGGGCGCGAGCGUUGUCCGGAAUUAUUGGGCGUAAAGGGCUUGUAGGCGGUUGGUCGCGUCUGCCGUGAAAUCCUCUGGCUUAACUGGGGGCGUGCGGUGGGUACGGGCUGACUUGAGUGCGGUAGGGGAGACUGGAACUCCUGGUGUAGCGGUGGAAUGCGCAGAU
rnacentral:rRNA from 1 species